rnacentral:pre_miRNA from 1 species
AGGAGUAACAACCGCAGUGGCAGGGCCGGCUCUGGAGCCCGGGAGUCAGCUCCCAUAGUAACUACAGAGCUCUAAGCCUGCAGGGCCUGGAGGCUCAGGGGCGGG